AUGCCGUCGGCACCUGACCCACAAUCAAAAAAUCCAUUCACCACCCAAACUAACCCCUAUGCUCAAGCUCAAAGCAUGUUAAAAAGUAUAACUGUAGGUAGAAGCCCACAGGAGGACACAGGAAAAGACCCAUACGGGAGAGACACGGGGGGCAGUGUAGAUCCACCUGGCCUCUCAGGUCUGUUUCCAAUGAUAGCCACACCCAAUCCUAGAUAUGGACAGCCGACUGGUGGUGAAAAUAAUGAGCGAGAUGAGAAUCCAAAUAUAUUUGUUUUUAGACCAUGGUCACAAACAGAUAGACAGAAUGUACUCAAAGAUGUCCCACCUUUAAAUGAAGGUUUCAUACAGUGGAGAGAUGCUGUCGAGUUAAUUAGAAGACAGUGGUAUUUGAAUGGCCAUGAAAUGCUUCAGGUAAUACAAGACCUGUUAGGAUUAAAAAUGGGAACAGUUAGAGGAGACUUCACAGGAUCAGAAGAAAAUGGUAGGGCCCUAGGUCCUGGAUCUGCUGACUUACAAACUGCCAUGACACAGCUGUAUGAGCGGAUUAGAGUUCGACUGGCUCCCAGAGCAGACUAUGCUAAAAUAGGAGAAGUAAAGCAGAAGGAAGCUGAAACAGCAUCCGACUUCCUCGAUCGUUUACGCCCAGUUUUUAGACAACAUUCAGGAUUAAACUAUGAGGAAGGCCCAGACACCCCGUAUCAACAACAUUUAAAAAAUGCAUUCCUGAAUGGCCUUCUGCCACCUGUAAAAGCACACGUAGAGAAACAUUGGGUAACCAUGAACAUUGGAUUAUUGCCUGAUGCAUUACAAUAUGCAGAGCACGCUACUCGUGUGUUAAAGAAAAAAAAUAAAGGGAACGUUUUUUCUGUGGAUCCUGAAACAGGAUUCAUAGCCUUUGCAGGAGGAUAUAGAGGCCCAAGACAGGGACAGCAGAGAAACAGAGGAAGGAGAAGAGGAGGUUUUAGAGGUGAAAACAGAGGAGGCGGAUAUCGAGGAAAGGGAGAGAAUGACAGAGAAAGAUAUGAAAGUGACAGAGAGAGAGAUAAUACUUGUUGGAACUGUGGUAAAGAAGGACACAUUGCAAGGAACUGCAGGAAUAGAGGAGAGAAACAGCAGGAUUGA
rnacentral:lncRNA from 1 species